rfam:Enterococcus rivorum strain LMG 25899 72, whole genome shotgun sequence.
UCCAUGGUGACGUGGAAUCUGAAGGAAGUUGGAGACAAAACUCUGGUCCGACGAACAGAAACUACAUAGAAGGCAGGGGUUGAGGAUAAGACUGCAAAAGAAGUUGAAGUCCAAUAGUUACUGAACCAAUCAACCAAUGUAAAUGUGGCGGAUAGAUGGAGUGGAAGAGUUUGAG